rnacentral:rRNA from 1 species
AGGACGAACGUUGGCGGCGUGCCUAACACAUGCAAGUCGAACGUGGCUUAAGUUUACUUAAGUCUAGUGGCGGACGGCAGAGUAAUGCACAGGAACGUACCUCGAGGUGAGGGAUAGCCCUUCGAAAGAAGGGGUAAUACCACAUGUGCUCGCAAGAGCAAAGCCGCAAGGCGCCAUGAGAACGGCCUGUGUCCUAUCAGGUAGUUGGUGAGGUAAAGGCUCACCAAGCCUAUGACGGGUAGCUGGUCUGAGAGGAUGAUCAGCCUGAUCGGGACUGAGACACGGCCCGAACUCCUACGGGAGGCAGCAGUUGGGAAUUUUGCACAAUGGACGAAAGUCUGAUGCAGCGACGCCGCGUGGAGGAUGAAGGUCUUCGGAUCGUAAACUCCUUUACUUGGGAAUAAUUUAAUGAAGGUACCAAGUGAAUAAGCACCGGCUAACUCCGCGCCAGCAGCCAC